GAGUUUGAUCCUGGCUCAGAACGAACGCUGGCGGCGUGCUUAACACAUGCAAGUCAGGGAGAAAGUCUCUUCGGGGAUGAUUAAGCCGGCGCACGGGUGAGUAACACGUGAGUGGCCUGCCUUUUAGACUGGAACAACUUACCGAAAGGUGAGCUAAUGCCGGAUGAGUUAUAUAAGUGCAUGUUUAUAUAGGGAAAGUUGGGGAGACCUGACGCUGAAAGAUGGACUCGCGUCCCAUUAGCUAGUUGGUAGGGUAAUGGCCUACCAAGGCGACGAUGGGUAGCCGGCCUGAGAGGGUGGCCGGCCACACUGGGACUGAGACACGGCCCAGACUCCUACGGGAGGCAGCAGUGGGGAAUUUUGCGCAAUGCUCGUAAGAGUGACGCAGCGACGCCGCGUGAAUGACGAAGGCCUUCGGGUCGUAAAGUUCUUUCGACAGGGAAGAAAAUGCCUAUAAGUAACUGUGUAUGUAUUGACGGUACCUGUAUAAGCAGCCCCGGCUAACUCCGUGCCAGCAGCCGCGGUAAUACGGAGGGGGCGAGCGUUGUUCGGAGUGACUGGGCGUAAAGAGCACGUAGGCGGUGUUGUAAGUCAUUAGUCAAAGACUAGAGCUCAACUUUAGUAAGGCUAGUGAUACUAUAAUACUAGAGUAUCAGAGAGGAUUGCAGAAUUCCUGGUGUGGCGGUGAAAUGC
rnacentral:rRNA from 1 species